UGACGUCAAGGCGCCCUACAAAUGGGUCGUCGCGUGAUUAUGACGUCCUUCGUGAAGACCCUUUCCUAGCAGUCGGCUUCCUUCGUCGAUAUGAGGGCCAAGUGGAGAAAGAAGCGCAUGCGCAGGCUGAAGCGCAAGAGAAGAAAGAUGAGGCAGAGGUCCAAGUAGGCCGUCUCCCCUCCACGGCUGCCACACCGAUAGUUUGUUGUGAGCACAGCCGGAGACGAGGACCAUCCCGCGUCGAGUGUGAGGCCAGCGGCGUCGUCAGCCAAAGGCGGUGAAGCUUGGUGACGUUUGAGACGCCAUUCAACACCUGCUGGAUGUCAGGCACCGGGACAUUCUGAACUCUGUGUUCUUUAUUCCUCAACUUUUGUCAUCUGUUUUUGUUUAUACUGUGAUUAAAGGUUUUGGUUUACAAAAUCA